rnacentral:rRNA from 1 species
UGGGGAAUUUUGGACAAUGGGCGCAAGCCUGAUCCAGCAAUGCCGCGUGAGUGAAGAAGGCCCUCGGGUUGUAAAGCUCUUUUGUCAGGGAAGAAAAGGUGAUCUCUAAUACAGGUCACUCAUGACGGUACCUGAAGAAUAAGCACCUGCUAACUACGUGCCAGCAGCCGCGGUAAUACGUAGGGUGCAAGCGUUAAUCGGAAUUACUGGGCGUAAAGCGUGCGCAGGCGGUUAUAUAAGUCAGAUGUGAAAUCCCCGGGCUCAACCUGGGAACUGCAUAUGAGACUGUAUGGCUAGAGUGUGUCAGAGGGGGGUAGAAUUCCACGUGUAGCAGUGAAAUGCGUAGAUAUGUGGAGGAAUACCGAUGGCGAAGGCAGCCCCCUGGGAUAACACUGACGCUCAUGCACGAAAGCGUGGGGAGCAAACA